rnacentral:rRNA from 1 species
UACAGAGGUCUCAAGCGUUGUUCGGAUUCAUUGGGCGUAAAGGGUGCGUAGGCGGCGCGGUAAGUCGGGUGUGAAAUCUCGGAGCUUAACUCCGAAACUGCAUUCGAUACUGCCGUGCUUGAGGACUGGAGAGGAGACUGGAAUUUACGGUGUAGCGGUGAAAUGCGUAGAUAUCGUAAGGAAGACCAGUGGCGAAGGCGGGUCUCGUGGACAGUUCCUGACGCUGAGGAGCGAAAAGCCGUGGGGGAGCAAACAGG